rnacentral:rRNA from 1 species
CCUACGGGUGGCAGCAGUGAGGAAUAUUGGUCAAUGGACGAGAGUCUGAACCAGCCAAGUCGCGUGCAGGAUGACUGCCCUAUGGGUUGUAAACUUCUUUUAUAUAGGAAUAAAAUUUUCUACGUGUAUUCUUUUGUAUGUACCGUAUGAAUAAGGAUCGGCUAACUCCGUGCCAGCAGCCGCGGUAAUACGGAGGAUCCGAGCGUUAUCCGGAUUUAUUGGGUUUAAAGGGAGCGUAGGUGGAUUGUUAAGUCAGUGGUGAAAGGUUGGGGCUUAACCGGGAAAUUGCAUUUAAAACUGGCAGUCUUGAGUAUAGUUGAGGUAGGCGGAAUUCAUGGUGUAGCGGUGAAAUGCUUAGAGAUCAUGAAGAACACCGAUUGCGAAGGCAGCUUACUAAACUGUAACUGACAUUGAGGCUCGAAAGCGUGGGGAGCAAACAGGAGUAGAUACCCGAGUAGUC